AAUAUUGGAAUGGUGAGUGAGAGCGCAGGAGAUCGAAGCUUCAUUGUUUGAAGACUCAAUAGAGACUUUCUCUGCGGAGAGACGGACGGAGCCAGACCGAAGAAGAAGAGACAGAAUUCAAAUUGAAGCAGGCGAUACACUACUCAUCGCGGCUUCGUUGAGCCACGUUUCCUUAUCCUCUGUUAUCGUGCGCUGUCGUUUGGCACUGACGGAAGUGACGACUGUGGAUGUGAAAGUUUACGAUCGCCACCCGUUUUUUGUUCGGUUCCGAUUGGAAAACUUCCACCAAUCCGAUCACCAAAACCCUAGCGCUUCAAUUCGAUAGAGAGAGUAGCGGAUGGUCAAUUUGCGGAGAUCGAGGAUAAUUGUCAAUUUCUAGGUAGAAAGAGAGAGUGCGUAAGAUGAUGCCGAGGCUCAGUCCACCGAAGCACAGGCACGAUGGGACUUCGCCGCUGCCGUUGGGGAUGGACUGGAGCCCGCCGCCUCGGAAAUGGAAUGGACGGGGCACAGUUUGGCCUCAUGAUCCUCGCACAGGGUGGACUUAUUGUGUCACAAUACCCUCGUGGGUUGUUCUUCCAAAGUCAAGAGAUUCAGAUCCUGUAGUGUUUUACAGGGUUCAGGUUGGUGUGCAAUCACCCGCUGGGAUUACAAUCACACGCGGUGUACUGAGAAGAUUUAAUGGUUUCUUGAAGUUAUUUAGUGACCUUAAAAAGGCCUUUCCCAAGAAAAGUCUUCCACCAGCUCCCCCCAAGGGAAUCUUGCGAAUGAAAAGUAGGGCACUGUUGGAAGAGAGAAGGUGCUCAUUGGAGGAAUGGAUGACAAAGCUACUAUCUGACAUUGAUAUAUCAAGAAGUGUUGCAGUUGCAUCCUUUCUCGAAUUAGAAGCUGCUGCUAGAUCUUCAUUUCAAGAUGUGGAUCAGCAAGCUUCCGAAGCAAACAAUACCAGCAAUAGCACAAUAUCUUCACCUCAUGCGCCUCCCCUCUCAAGCUUAUCACUUGUUGGUGGUAGUUCUUCAAUUACAUCAGAUUAUGGCAGUGAUACAGCUUACGAUACAUCCGAUCUCAGCACUCCAAGACUAGGAAAUGAUGAAAAUUUUGAAAUUGGUGUGGAGGAUGUAACAAUGGGUGAAGAUUUGGCUAACCCUAUAGAAAAGCUUGUAAAAUAUGGCAUGUCCAACAUUGAUGAAGGACUCUUUAUGGGACAAACUAUUCUAGAGCAGCUUGAAGGUUUUCCAAGGCAUAAACCACAUGCCAAGCUUGUGAAUAACGUCGUAAAUAUGAAUAAUUACAAUGGAAAUGUUUCUCAAGCUUCAUUUCUUUCAACCAAUGGGCUGGAACUUUUCUCCGAGCCUGAGCAUGGCAAAAGUAUCGGUCAUGCUCGAAAGCUGUCAACAGAAAGUGCUGGAAGCGACGUAAGUUCUUUGAGAAACAGUGAUUUUUCAAUCCCUGGCAUUCCAAAUGUAUCUGCUGAUGGGUCUUUGGAUCUUCCUGGAGGUGCUGAGGUCUCAAGUAGUACAGAUAUUUGUAUUGUUACAGAGUUACAGUUUGCUGCUAAUUCACAACUUGUCAUUCCAGUGGAUCAACGCCAUAAGAUGAACAGGGUUCUGUUGACCAUGCAGCGCAGACUUGUCACUGCCAAAACAGACAUGGAGGAUCUUUUAUCAAGAUUAAAUCAAGAAAUAGCAGUUAAAGAUUAUCUUGACACAAAGGUCAGGGAUUUGGAGGUGGAACUUGAAGCUACUAAACAGAGAAGUAAAGAAAACCUGCAGCAAGCCAUUAUGAUUGAGAAGGAUAGAUUUACCCAAAUGCAGUGGGAUAUGGAGGAACUAAGGCGCAAAUAUUUGGAAAUGGAGUUGAAAUUGAAAUUCAAAGAGGAUGAAAAGUCAUCUACUGUUUUGAUUAAAGAUUCUACCAUUGAUGAAAACCUUGGAUUGCUGGAUGAGUUGAAUGCUACCAAAGAGCAGCUUCAGAAGUUGUCAAAGCAAUAUGAAGAGCUAGAAGCAAAAUCAAAAGCAGAUAUUAAAGUUCUUGUUAGAGAGGUUAAAUCACUAAGAUGUUCCCAGACAGAACUAAAGCAGGAGCUUAGUCAGUCGCUGAAGGAAAAAUCUGAAGCUGAGAAACGUCUUCAACUGGAAAGACAAAUUGGUGAGCAUGGGAAAAUUGCUCGGAGGAAGCUGCUGGAUGAAUGCAGGGUUCUUCACAACCUGCUUCAGGAAUGCAGUACUAAACUUUCCAUUGAAGAUGAAGAUAAUCCUAACGCAGAACCAGCCUCUUUGACAGAUGCUUUGAAUUUGUUGACUAAAUCUGAUGACCAGCUUGUCCUGCUACUUGCAGAGGCACAACAAUUAGUUGUCGAAGAUGGAACUAGUACUGGGGCUAAUGCACAUUUUGGCAUUGAUGAUGAUUCAAGAACAAUAGAUCUUGAGUUGAGGAAGAUGCUAGCGGAAAUCUUCACCGAUAAUGCAAGGUUGAGAAAACAGGUAAACGCUGCUCUACGCCGAGUCCUCAAAAUGGAUAUCAUUUCUAAUGGUAAUACAGAAGCUCCAAGGAUAAGCAUACCAGAGGAGCCUGUGGAAACAUAACACUGGGGAGUAAAUAUUGUGGUUGUCAUAUUUUCUAGAUUACAGUGAAAUGUCAAGUACUGCUGUUCUGAAUCAGCUGGCAUAUUUCAAUUGGUUGAUCUCACAGCUUUGUGGUAGCAGUUUGGACACAAAAUUUAAAACAUUCCUUUGUGAUGAUGAAGAUUAAUUUGAUGGCCAAUUUUGUCACAUGUGGAGCGAGAUUGUCAACAAGGAGAUUUGACCAUAACUUUAUUUUCUUUCUUUUUUUUUUAAAGUAUGAGCCUGAGUAGUAUUUUUAGGAGUCCAAUAUUUUUUUAUAGGAAAUAUUAUGAUUUAAUUAGGAUUAUCAAGGGUAUGCAAACAUAAUAUAAAUAAUAGGCUCAUAGUUUUGGAGAAUUAUAAUGAAAUCAGAGAGUUGUCU